UUAUCUCUCUCAAGAAGAACACCGAAGAAGGUUGUAGAAAUCAUAACUGAAGAAUUGAGCUCUAACUCUUAGGUCUGCAUUUGGAAUGGAAAAGGAGACCCCUCCUUUAUGUUGUGGCCUGUGGGUGCUGAACGGUGUAGACUGAAAUUUUCUGACUUCCAGAAGACUCUCCAUGAAAGAGUAGCUGUUCGACCUUAAACCGGCAAAGAAGAUGCGUGAGAAUUGGAGCUACUGGCCUCUUAACAAUACUGCAGAAGCUGCGAGGCUUAUGAUUCUGGCUUAUUUUGGGAUUGAGCUUAUGAAAAUUGUUUUGGCAUCUUAUGUCAAUAAGUAGUACUCUAAGUCUAUCAUAUUUGAUUAUCUUACCCAUGAACCAUGUUUUAAGGAAGAGAAGGUUUUUAAUUUUGUUUUGCAAACUUUAUUAAGAAUACAAAUAAUAACUAAUGUAUAUUGAAAAUUGUGGUUAAUGACUAAUAAAGUAUUAUGGUUCCAAUA